GACGAACGCUGGCGGCGUGCUUAACACAUGCAAGUCGUACGGUAAGGCCCUUUCGGGGGUACCCGAGUGGCGAACGGGUGAGUAACACGUGAGUAACCUGCCCACAACUUUGGGAUAACGCUAGGAAACUGGUGCUAAUACUGGAUAUGUGCCCCUGCUGCAUGGUGGGGGUUGGAAAGCUCCGGCGGUUGUGGAUGGACUCGCGGCCUAUCAGCUUGUUGGUGGGGUAGUGGCCUACCAAGGCGGCGACGGGUAGCCGGCCUGAGAGGGUGACCGGCCACAUUGGGACUGAGAUACGGCCCAGACUCCUACGGGAGGCAGAAGUGGGGAAUAUUGCACAAUGGGCGCAAGCCUGAUGCAGCAACGCCGCGUGCGGGAUGACGGCCUUCGGGUUGUAAACCGCUUUCAGCAGGGACGAAGCUUUUUGUGACGGUACCUGCAGAAGAAGCACCGGCUAACUACGUG
rnacentral:rRNA from 1 species